rnacentral:rRNA from 1 species
AGGAGAGUUUGAUCCUGGCUCAGGAUGAACGCUAGCGGCAGGCCUAAUACAUGCAAGUCGAACGGUAAAUGUCCCUUCGGGGAUAUGAGAGUGGCGCACGGGUGCGUAACGCGUAUGCAACCCACCCGCUGUCGGGGGAUAGCCCGGAGAAAUUCGAAUUAAUACCCCAUGAGGAGUGUUUGAGGCAUCUCAGGCAUUUCAAAACUAAGGUGACGGCGGACGGGCAUGCGUGCCAUUAGAUAGUUGGCGGGGUAACGGCCCACCAAGUCGACGAUGGCUAGGGGAUCUGAGAGGACGGUCCCCCACACUGGUACUGAGACACGGACCAGACUCCUACGGGAGGCAGCAGUAAGGGAUAUUGGUCAAUGGGGGGAACCCUGAACCAGCCAUGCCGCGUGAGGGAAUAAGGCCCUACGGGUCGUAAACCUCUUUUGCCGGGGGAUAAGGACAUCCACGUGUGGGUGUUUGAAGGUACCCGGAGAAUAAGCAUCGGCUAACUCCGUGCCAGCAGCCGCGGUAAUACGGAGGAUGCGAGCGUUAUCCGGAUUUAUUGGGUUUAAAGGGUGCGCAGGCGGGCGAUUAAGUCAGCGGUGAAAGGCUCGGGCUCAACCGGAGCAGUGCCGUUGAUACUGGUUGCCUUGAAUGCGGUCAAGGCCGGCGGAAUGUGGCGUGUAGCGGUGAAAUGCAUAGAUAUGCCACAGAACACCGAUAGCGAAGGCAGCUGGCCGGGCCUGCAUUGACGCUGAGGCACGAAAGCGUGGGGAUCGAACAGGAUUAGAUACCCUGGUAGUCCCCU